rnacentral:rRNA from 1 species
UUCCGGUUGAUCCUGCCGGACAUGACUGCUAUCAGAUUGAUACUAAGCCAUGUUAGUCAUUGUAGUAAUACAAGGCAGACGGCUCAGUGACACGUAGUCAACCUAACUUAUGGACGGGGAUAACCUCGGGAAACUGAGAAUAAUACCCGAUAGGUCAUGAUGCCUGGAAUGGUUUAUGACUCAAAUAAUUUAUUGCCGUAGGAUGGGACUGCGAGCUAUCAGCUUGUUGGUGAGGUAAUGGCCCACCAAGGCUAUUACAGCUACGGGCUCUGAGAGGAGUAGCCCGGAGAUGGGUACUGAGACAAGGACCCAGGCCCUAUGGGGCGCAGCAGGCGAGAAAACUUUGCAAUGCGCGAAAGCUCGACAAGGUUAAUCUGAGUGGUUCCUGCUAAAGGAACCUUUUGUUAGUCGUAGAACCACUGAUGAAUAAGGGGUGGGCAAGUUCUGGUGUCAGCCGCCGCGGUAAAACCAGCACCUCAAGUGGUCAGGAUGAUUAUUGGGCCUAAAGCAUCCGUAGCCUGUUCUGUAAGUUUUCGGUUAAAUCUAUGCGCUCAACGUAUAGGCUGCCGGAAAUACUGCAGAACUAGGGAGUGGGAGAGGUAGACGGUACUCGGUAGGAAGGGGUAAAAUCCUUUGAUCUAUUGAUGACCACCUGUGGCGAAGGCGGUCUACCAGAACACGUUCGACGGUGAGGGAUGAAAGCUGGGGGAGCAAACCGGAUUAGAUACCCGGGUAGUCCCAGCUGUAAACGAUGCAAACUCGAUGAUGCGUUGGCCUAUUGCUAGCGCAGUGUCGCAGGGAAGCCGUUAAGUUUGCCGCCUGGGAAGUACGUACGCAAGUAUGAAACUUAAAGGAAUUGGCGGGGGAGCACCACAAGGGGUGAAGCCUGCGGUUCAAUUGGAUUCAACGCCGGA